AAUGUAAACAACAAAAACAAAAAAUCUUUAGACAGCUGCGGCUUCAGAAGAUUUAUUUCCGUUUCCUCUUGGCAACGACGCACAACUUUGUGCUGCAUAGCAACCAACCAUAACAUAACCAUAUAAACACAGCAAUAUUUAAACGCUUAUGUAUAUAUAUAUUUCGUAAUUUUUAUGUUUGUUUUCCUCCUGCAACCUUCCUUUAACAACAUUUAACUUUAACGCGUAAUGAUUUAUUUUUCAGUAAAUUUUCCAGUAAAAUUUUCAGCAAUUACUACUGCAUGCUGUAUGACUGUGCGUUUUAUAUAUUAAUUAAUGAACAGUUAUUAGUUAAAAUAGUAUACUUAAAUAUCUCUGUGGCGUGAUAAUUUUUUUUUUUUUUAACGAUACAAAUAUCCCAUCUGUAAGUUCAAACGAAGUCAUAGAAACGGCAUGCAUAUAUUUUUAUUUUAAAUAAAGUGUAAAGAAGAAAAUAACGUUGAAAAAAAUGUUUAAUUUAUUAUCAGCUCAAAAAUAAGCUUAGAUUUUCAUUCAGGCAGAUAUUUCGCUACCCUGCCUGCAGCAUUAGGACCCUCUUAAAUAUCCUUCCCUGUACGCUGUGCGAUCCUUUUCAUGCUGAGGAUGCCACGGUACCUCAGAUCAUAUCUACUCAAACUGAACAAUGAUGUUUUGGGAAACCAAAUUUGGAAGAACGUGCCGAAGCUGCAGCAGUGUCCCAAUUGGGUGGGAGGAAGAGAUGUUUCCAGGUACUAGCUGAAGUCAACCAGCCAAUAGCUGACAACCAAUGGGUUGGAUUCCAGCAGAAUGGUUCAUCGUGACAGUCGAUGACUACAGGGUAAGAAAUUGUUUUUCUUCUGUCUUUGUAAGUGUGCCCCAUGAACAAUCUCUAACAAAUAGUGUUUAUUUUCAAGGUUUUCAGCGAUGGGUUUGAAGCCAGU
ensembl:lncRNA